UCAGCUUUUUAAUGCUUACAUAAUAAAUAGAGCACAGGCAUGUUUCACUGAGUCCUCUGCUUGGGUCUCAGCCAAGCUCUAAUCCAGGUGUCUGGCUGGCUAAGUUUGCAUUGAGCUUUAACCAGAGAAAAGAUCCACUUCCAAGCUCACUCAUCUUAUGGGCAAGAUUCAGUUCUUUGCAGUUGUUGGACUGAAGGCUUCAAUUUCCUGUUGUUCAGAGACCACCUCAGCUCCUAGAGGUGCCCUUAGUUCCUGCCACGUGGGUUAUCCAACAUGACCACGUGCCUUCUCAAAACCAGCAAAGCAGAGAGAGAGAGAGUCCAACAAAACUGAUGUUAAAUUUUACAUUAUUGUAAUCAUGGACAUCUGGCCACCUUUGCGGUAGUCAGUUGGUUAGAUGCAUGUCACAGAUCCUUCCCACACUCAUGGGGAAGGAAUUGAACAAGGUCAUGAACUCCAGGAUGGGGGCGGCUUACUGAGGCCAUUUGAAGAGUCUGUCCACCACAAAUAUAAAGCUGGGAAAGGCUAUAAUAUACCAGCGAAACCAAAACAAAUAAAUAGAAUUUUAACAUGUAAAGGACAAAGAAAUUAUUCUGGGAAUAGAGGAAAUUGUCAAAAAAUUAUUAUGAAUUUGUACAUUCUUAAAACCAAAACAGCAUGAUGUAAAAGAAAAGCAAUCAAAAAUAAGAAAGCACAUAUGAAAAAUGUUAAUCCAAUAGUUGAACUAUUUUAAUAAUCAAUCAUAAAUAAAGACAGGAAAACUUCCAAGACAGUAGAGACUCAUCAUGUUUCUAAUUUUUUUCAUCAACAUAUUCAAUAAAAAAUAAAUAGAGUGUAUGCAGGACUUCAAAGUUAUGAUGGUAAAUUCUACAAGAAAUGAGGAGUGAUUAAUUAUCUUUGAGGAAUUGGGUGGGAGUGAGAGAAGGAUAAGCUGUUUUAUGAUAUCUUUUAAUAGUAGAUACAGUUCUUAAAUAUAUGAUUAUAUUGCUUUAACUUUAAAAAAAAAUAGACAAUGACAGUGCCAGGACUUUAACUUCAAGAAUGAAAAACAAAUCUAAGAGAACCAUAGAAUGGCAUUACCUUGACAAAUAUAACCUGUUCUAUAUUUUGGCUCCCUGUCCUAUGGAUUCAGAUCCCUGGCUUUUCAAUGAAUGCAUCUGUAGUAGUAGACUCACAUUAAUCAAUGUAACAGAGACUGAUGUAUAAACCGUAACACUAACUUACAAUUUAUAGUGAAGUACACAAUCACCAGAGACCAUUUUUCUUCAUAGAGAGCCUAGGAAUCCAAACUAUAAUCAGAGAAUUGCAAUGGUAGAUCUGGGCUCACAACAAGGGAGUCAGCUGGAUAAAUGGGAUAUAUGGAAUCUUUUGAUGGAAGAGUCUUGUUUAGGGUAUGGGAAUAUUUAUCGUCCUUGCCCCUAGACUAAGUUUCUAUAGGCCCAGCCAAUCUUUGUCUCUGUGACCCUCCUUUUACUCUGCUUACUUGGCUGAUAAAAUUGGCCCUUCAUUUACACACCUAAUUGAUUAAGACAUGACAUCAUUCAGGUCGUUGUCAAGUUAAGCUUUCCUGGGCACUACUCUGUGUCAUUAAGAAAGGUUUGCACAUCUUUGCCCUGAUCAGCUACUUCUGUAUUGUAAGGUUUAACUCUCAGGGAACAAUCGUAGUUUGACUAUUUUCAAGUGGUUAAGAAAUCAUUCCACUAUUUUCCCAAAGUACCAAAAUAGAUAUUAAUAGAAUAUUGGCUAAGAUAACCCUGUUUCCAAUAUUAAUUGAUUAGUCUAUUUUAAAAUAACUCUGUUUAGAACUACUUUAAGUUAUCUUUAAUUAAAAACAGAGGCUUUUACUCUCUACUUAUUUGAUAGUGAUUAAUGAGCACUUUAAAAGUGCUUCAUCUUCCUAAGAAUUAAGCUCAGAAAAAACUCUAAACUCCCCAUAAAAUAAAGAGAAGAAAUAAAUUAUUUUCUCAGCUGCUAUCUCCUCAAAUAUUGCUUCUGUCCAUUUUCUUUCUUCUCUCAUCCUGAAACUCUGGUCCUUUCGCCAUGUAUUUCAAGUCUAAUAUUCUCUCUUGUCUUUCUCAUCUUUAGUCUCUGCUUGCUUAAAUCUGGCUAUUUUCUUGUGGUCUAUCUUCCAGUUUAAUAAUUCUCUCUUCAGCUGUUUCCAUUCUGUUGUAAAACAUGCUCCUUGCAUUUUUAAUUUGUUAUUGUAUUUUUCAGUUCUAGAAUUUCUUUUUUUCCCCCAAAGCUGCUCUAACUUCCACAGAUGAAUAUGUUUGGUAUUCUAUUAAUAUUUUAAAUCUUGUUUUUCAUAUCCUUGAACACCAUAAACACAAUUAUUUUGGAGACUGUGUCUGAUAAUUAUUUUAUUUAGGGUGCUUGUGUGCCAGAUCUUUCUGCUAGUUCUAAGUUAGGUUGUCACGUCUCCUGUGCUUCUGGCAAUCUUUGAUAAAAUGCCAAACAAGUAUUUAAGAGAUUGCUUAGAAACAAUUUGAGACUUGAUAGGAUGUUGCUUUCUCCAGAGAUUAUUUUCUUUUAUUUCAGCCAGGUGCCUGGAGAUACCAUCAAUCUGGGAUUACCUUAAUACAAUUUCAGUGGUGAUAUUUUUUAGGGCCACUCAGGUGUCUUGAAGCUGAGACAAGUAUAUGGGAGAACAGGUUUACCUUUAGUUCCUCCUUACUCCUCACUCAAAAGAGUUGGGAUCCCAACUCAGUUUCAGGGUUUUAUGAAGGCCUUAAUCUUGGCAGAACUUGGACUCCUGCACUUGACUUCCUGCCUCAUGAGGGAGCCAAAAGUGUUGCUCGGCUUCCCAGCCUCCUCUUCCUGAAAAAGCAGAAACCCCCAGACACAGCCAGCACCCGAUGCCAGCUGCACUUCUCUAGAUUUCUUUCUUUUCCUAGAUCUUCAUCCAGACAGUGUUACCACCUUGUUACAGCUCCAAUUCCUUUAAACACUUUUAAAAGACAUUUUAUUCAGCUUUAGAGUUGUUUUCAUUUGGAUUAUUGAUCCAAAUUAUCUAGUCAGUCCAAAUAACUAGAGGUGGAAAUCACUUAAAACUCUGAUGAAUAAAGAUGAGUGAUGUGUCCUUUUUCCAUGAAUACAUUUCUCCAAGCCUCAGUUUUAAAAUGUUCCAUACUUUAAAUAUUUACACUUCAGUUUACAAUCUAUAACCACCCACUUUAAUAAACUCAAAGUCCAAAGUGUUAAUUAGGACUCACACCACAGCAGUUUUUUUUUCCUUGCCAUUCAUUCAACAUUCUUGCCCAUAACCUGAACAUCCUCAAACAAGAAAUGGGGUUCAUUCCUAACAAGAAAAACACUUAGAUGGAUAAACAGUUGUGUCUAUUCAGAUGGGACACAGCUCAGAGUUUUAAGAGAGGGUUUGUAAUAUGAACACACUCAUGCACAGCUCUGCUGUUAGAUGUGGGUUGUGUAGGAUCAUGAGGAGGUCUUUGGCUUUUAGCAUGGCACAGUUAGUCUUUACCAGAUGUGGGGAGUGGGGAAGAGAGGGCUUGAAGUGGAUGUAUCUGAUGGUAAGAGAUGGUCACAGGCCAUGCCUCUCCCUAAUCUCCCUCCUCUCUGCUUACAGAAAACCCAUGCCUGCUCCAUGAACCCAGCUUUUCUUCACCAGCCAUUGGCAGCAUGAAUCCAUGGCAUGCAAAGCUAAAGGGGGUCAAAGGUUGGAACUGAGAUCUGGGGUGGGGUACAAUAAAAGGGCUUGGCUGCCAGAGUAAAUGCUCUUCUGAAGUGGCGAACAGCCAUAUUAGGAGGCGGUCUGUUUCUGUGAUGUCAGGAGAAUAGCUUUAGCAGCUGUGAUUGUGCGGUCAGACAAAGCUAGGAGAGAUUCCUGUAUUCAACGGCAUUUCAUUUUACAAUCUAUAAGGUGUGGGGCCCUAAAAGGGAAAAUAUAAAAAUGUGGGAUUGCCAUUCAAUUCAAGGGUCUUUAGGACUCAUGCUAAAGCAAAGCCCAAUCUAGUGAAAGAAGCACAGAGCAGGUGGAGAGCUCAGACUUCCACAAGAAGACAGAGGAAUCAAUCAAGUCUCUUUCCUGAGGACUUUGGCUGACGACUUGCCCUUUGCUUAACUUUUGGGGUCCAUGACAUGGUGCCUCCAUGAAGAGGUUUAGAAGAAGGCCAGCACAGCCAGCAGCUGGAGGAGGGACAGGGGGGAUUUUGGGGAGUCUUCGAGCCAGAUACUGAGAGGGAGAAAGAGAAUUUGGAUUUUAAGUAGUUUUUCUGUGUGCUAUGGAAUAGCUUGUUCUGUUUUAUGAGAAUGUAUAAAGACAUACAGAGCUUCUUCCUUUCUUCCUGUUUACUUUUAGUCAUCUGCCAGUGUUUUCUGAAUACCAAACCUUGUGAAGAUGAGCGUUGGGAAAGGAGUAGGAAGGUCCCAAUUUGGAAUUUUGACAUCCUAAAAGCCUUGGGUGCCGCAGAAUGAGUAAGCUGGAGGGUACUGUGUAAAGACCUCGGCUACUGCAGCAGAGAAACAGAUCAAAAAAGUCAAGACCGGCGAGAGGAAAGUGAUUGAAAGGCCAUCACUGAAAGAGUGACUCACCCAGGUGCAGAUGAGACACAGAGCUCAUGGUUGCCUCCUGUGAAGUGCAGGAAGGAUGGAGCAGACAGACCCAAAAGCACUGGCCUCCCAGAUGAAUCAGGAGGGAUGUGCAGGCUGGGUGACGUCUGCCCCGGAACCAGGAAAGUGCGGCUGCUUCCUCCACACCCCGCCCGCCGCCCAGGACCCAGGGCCCUUCUGAAAAGUGGAGCCUCCCUACACCCUACGCACACGGCGGCUGUUCCCCACGACACAGCGGGGGGCAAAUGACCACCAGGAGC
rnacentral:lncRNA from 1 species